CAGAAAUUUGCUCUUUAGUAUUUGUCCAGUUGGUUUCCUUUAAAGGGAAAUCUCU
ensembl:snRNA U7 U7 small nuclear RNA